AUUUUUUUAGAGAAUGAAUUUAGUUUAGUAUUUUGUGUGUUGACCAAUACACAUAUGAUCGAAGGUUGUGUCCUUUUAGUCUCUUUCAUCUUAUCCUACUCAUCUCUCUGUCACUCUCUCACAUUCGCACGCGCCACAACACAACACAAAAACAGGAAGAAGAAGAGUGAAAAAUCUGUACUAUUAUCAGUGGGAGCAUUUUUUGCGUACUCUUUCAAGUGGGUGAUUGUUUCCAUUUGCUUUGUUUGUGGUUAUGGCUUUCUUGUGGGGUCACUCGUCGUUUUGUACCAUCAAAGGUUGCUUUCUGCUUCUGUGCUGUCGUGUGUAGCACAGGGGUUUUACCAGUGUUUGUUUUGGAUUACAUUAUUGUACUUUUUUUUUUUCCUUAAAAGAGAGUUUUGUGGAUUCUUUUGUGUCUCAAUGAGUGCUUUUUCUGGAACAAAAAUAUGGUUUUUUUAG